rnacentral:lncRNA from 1 species
ACACUGGGACGAGGAAACUGAGCUCCGGGCACAGCUCAGCCCGUGGGAAUUGCCCAACUGGACUGUCGCAAUGGGCUAGGAGGCCAGGGUCGGCCCUGCCGCUGGCUGCCAGGACCAGGCCUCCUGGCCACCCUAAGCGUCUAGAAUCUGGGGACGAUGGCGGCCAAGCAGUUAACAUCUGCUCUGCGAUGGCGGUAAAAAGGAAAGCAAAAUUUCGAUCUAUUUUUCUGGGAAGAGAGUAAGAGAUUUGGGCUGUCCCGGCAGGACCCGAGCUUUGCAACACACCGGUGUUCCUUUAAGUCCAAAAGAGGGCCGAGAAACCAGCUGGCCCACAGUUCACAGAACAUCCCAGCAGGAACCUGUACCCCUAUGGAGACUGCUGAGAAACUGGAGCCUAUCCAGGCCACGGCCACGGCCGGGGAUCAGCCCCAACCUACGGAGCCCAUUAACAGUCGCUACCUGGUAAUUUCUAAAGCACCCACUGGAUGGGCGCGUGGUCCACAGGGGGCCACAAAAGCCAAGGACACAAGUUCACUGCCUGCAAGGAGCUUGCCCGUGGGAGAUAAAGCUGGUAACGGGCUCGACACCCAGGCAGCCCUUCCGGGAGGCGGAGAUGGGACUCCAGAGAUGAACAGGAUUCAGAGGCUGCAUCCAAGGACGGAGAGACCAAAGUCCUGGUUGCACCAUUUUGCAGCGUGUCGCCUGACCUCCAGGAGCCUGGGUGUCUUUGUCUUUUAAAUGGGAUUCACAGAGACCCUACCUCUUAGGGUUAGCGUGAGGGCAGAGGGAAAUAAGGGGAGUUCCCGUGUGGCUCAGCAAUAAUGAACUUGACUAAUAUCCCUAAGGACGAGCGUUCAAUCCUUGGCCUUGCUCAGGGGGUUAAAGAUCUGGUGUUGCUGUGAGUUGUGGUGUGGGUCACAGACAUGGCUUGGAUCCUGUGUUGCUGUAGCUGUGGUGUAGGCUGGACGCCGUAGAUCUGAUUCGACCCCUAGCCUGGGAACUUCCAUAUGCCUUGGGCGUGACCCUAAAAAGCAAAAAAAAAAAAAAAAAAAAAAAGGAAAUUCAGGAAAACAACAUGAAUGAACCUCAAAGACAUGACCCCAGUUGAAAGAGGGCAGGUGUGCAAAGUGGCACACGGAAUGGUUUUUUCUAGGAAGUGGCCAGGGCGUUAAGUAAAUUCCUAGAGAUGAGAAGCAGAUUAGUGGUUGCCAAGGGCCGGGGGAGGGGAAAGGGGUGUACUUUUGGGGUGGUGACAAUAUGCUGGAACUAGAUAGGGGGUGAUUGCAUGGGAAUAGGUGAAAGGUCACGGAACGGUGCAUUUUAAAACGGUUCAUUUCGGAAUUCCCUGGUGGCCUAGCGAUUAAAAGAUGCCUUCAAUCCCCGGCCUGAGGUCGAGGCCAAAAACAUUAAAAUGAAAUCAAAUGGUUCAUUUUUUGGUAUGUGAAUGUCACCUCAAUUAAAAAAAUGUCUUGAAGGAAAUUUGUUUGCACAAACCUAGUGAAUGGGACACUCGCCAGGGCCAGACCCCAGACACUCUGCCUCCUGUCACCCUCCAGCCUGGGCUGAGUGAGCUGGGUCACCCUCUGUCCAGGCCUGGACACCCUCAGCCUGGCCGGUGGGGCCUAGUGGAGCCCAGACAUGGGGGCGGGGUGGGGGGCUGCCCCACACGGUGCGGGGAGAGGCCAGUGUCCCCAGGCUGCUGGGAGGACCAAGUUACAUCAGAGGUCGUGUGCGGGAUGCGUUACAAAGAGAGAGGGAUGAGCUCCAGGUGCACUGGCUGCACCUGCCAUGGAGCACCUGCCGUGGCGGGACGAGGGGAGCACGAGGGGAUGUGCGCAGCCAGGGAGCCCACAGGGGUCAAGGCAGAGUCCCCGCCUGGCCCAGACCCGGGGACAGUCAGCUCCUCUGCCCACCCCCACCCCCCUCCCUCUCCUGGCCUCCCUGGCUCCCCCUCAGAGUCCCAUCCUAAUCCUGCCAGGAGAGGGAGCCCAGGGCAGUGGGUCUCCGUCCUGUGUCCCCCCUGCAGGCAGCCAGGCCAGAGAGAGAGCUGUCCAGCCCGCAGCCACGGAGGAGGCGCCCGCCACCCAGCUGACAUGGGGGCGGGUCUCAGGCUUUCCCCACUGGGCCACCACUGCCAGGGCAGCCUCCUGGGCUUUGGGCCACCAGGCGGAAAGGAUAAAAAGAGGCCACAUGCCUCCUGCCACGUGGAGGCAUCCACGCACCAGGGGCAACUCUGUCACACAGAACUCGGGUGCCAGAGGACCACGUGGGCAUUCAGCAGGGCGAGUUGGCAGGACCGACACCACUGCCUGUUGGGAUCCCAGGACUCGGGGAGGCCAUGCUGCUGAGGGUGCCCUAGCCGGCCUGGCCCAGGCUGGGAGCCACCAGUAUGAGACGCCACUUGACUGGCAAGAAACUCACCUUCCGAGGAACCUGCCAGUCUUCAAACUCAUAAAUGCCCUCCAGAGUUAGUGACCCCUGAACUACGGGCAGAUGUUAAGUGCCCAUAACCCUUUCCGGCUGGUGAUAACCCCGCGGCACUCUUGGCUUUUCUUGCGAUGGGUUUGCUGUUUUCUCCAAGGAGUGGGUUUCAUCAGACCCGGGUGCCCAAGACCGUGGCAAGGACCCAGCCACGGAAGGAGGGGCUGGACGGCGGCUCACAGUCCCCUUGUGCAGCUCCAGCGCGGGGCAAAAUCCCGCACAGGCCUGCGGUGAGGCCUCGCAAACAAGCAGCAGCAUGAUCCUGCCGGCCAGCUCAGCCCCCAGCCUUGGCCCAGAGCGGCUCUGGCCGCCCCGCCUCUGGCUCCCCUCCUGCAGCCCAUGCCGACCGCCCGCCACCAGAGGCCUUGCCAGCCGCCGAGGCAGCCCCUUGCGUCCCGUCCCCAGAGCCCUCAGCAGCCCUGAAGUCAUUCUGCUCCAGGAUCUGCUCCGUGUUUAUGUCCUGCCUCGGUCUCUGGGGGGCCUGACGCGCUCCCUGCAGCUUGUCCCCAGCACCCAGUCCCCGCGGGAACAAGGACCCGAGACAGAAACGGCAAAAGCGCUGUGAGCAAGACACCUGCCCGCGGAUCCCAGCCCCGCUGCCAGCUGUCUUUCUCCAUCGCUUGGCCGGCCCAAGGAUCUCAAGAACGGAAAGGGGUUUAGGGGGUCUGGAGACCACCCCACCACCCAAGAAAGGAGCCCGAGGUUAACUCCCACGUUCUCAGGAGAGCCGCCGACGUGUUGAUGCAAGCGCCAAGUAAUCGAAUUGCAGGUGGGGGUGGGGAGGAGAUAAUUGAAUAUCAGCGAGGGGCUGUUGUCAGGUCAGCCAGUUCCUGGCGUGUUCUCGUAUGCAUGUUUUCUGAGAGAGCCCCCAAAUAAAACAGUUCUAUUAUUUUAUGCC